rnacentral:lncRNA from 1 species
CAAUGCAAUAAAUCAGUUUUAUGGUUCAGAAACAAUGCAUGGCCUACUGUUCACAUCCCAAAUCCCUCUCGCUCGCAGGUACGGGAGGGUUGGUGCGCUGGCAGCGCGGGGGGAAGGCGCCUGUCCGCUCAGUGCUGUUUAUUGAAGACACUGCUCGGGCCGCUCCUCAGCAUUAUUCCUAAAGAAAAGCUUUUCCACAAAUCCAGCAUCUCCCUGCGACGCGGAAAGAAGCUCAGCGUGAACCAAAUGCGGGCGUUUUCUGUCCCCUUCCCUCCCCGCCGACACCUCAUUCCUCUUCACUAUCGAAACAAAAUACAGAGAAACCGAUUUCCGAAGCGAAAGCGCAGAAGGAUAAAGGUGUUUUACUACAGACCUCUCAGUCUGGCGCUGAUCAAAAAGCCCAACUCAUCUUCGGAAAGAAAAAGACUGGCAAAUGCCACGGGUUUGGUUGUGAUGCUUAAUUUCGGGUAAAUCUCUUAGAAAUAAUUAUUUUAUAUAUAUAUAAUUUUUUUUUUCCUUAGGAGAAGAAGUGGGUUGGGGAGGGGUGGGAGGAGGGGGAGAGGAAGGUCAGGCUUGUGACCCGACCGUUUUACGGUGUUGGGAAGUUCUUGAAAAGGAAGAAAAAAAGCUGCAACAAAAUAAACCUGUUCUUCACAUCGGUGCGGGGCUCCGAGCCCCAAAUCCUCGGGGCUGGGGGCGAGGAAGAGCCGCGGCCGCCCUGCCCCGGCCCCGCUGGGUCACACUGCCGGCGCUCGGGGAAGGGAGGAACGCUUGGACUGCUCAAUUCGAUACAAAUUAGGUCACAAAUAUUGUGUACAGUUUGUAGUAAAACACCUCAGGACAUUUAAAAACGCUAUAUAAGUCUUUAAAAAUGCAAAACUAGUCUAUUGUAAAACAGAUUCACCUGAAAUACAGCUGAUAUAACCAAGGCGCUGGAAGGUUAUUCAUAGGCACACAUCUGUCUUUCCUUUUCUGUCGGGUUUUUCGUUCUUUUUUUUUUUUUUUAAUUUUCUAUUUUUCCGUGGGUUUUCCCUUUUUUUUUUUGUUUUUUUUUUUCUUCCUUUUAUUUGGGUUUUAUUUCGCUGUGGGGUUGUUUUGUGGGAUUUUUUUGUGUCUUUUUUUUUUUUUUUUCCUUCGUCCUAGCGGAGACCGAAAAACAAACCUUGUCUGCGAGUAAACACCGUGUGUGAUCAGCGGAAAGGUCGGAGAGAGGAAAAAAAAAUAUUGCCGAGGCGGCGGCGGGCAGGGACCCCUCGCCGCGUCUCCCGAAACCAUAAGUUAAAGCCCGGCGGGCAGAACCGGGCCGGACAGUCCCGUGGCCGGGCAGAACCGGGCCGG